rnacentral:rRNA from 1 species
AAUAGUACGUGAAACCGUUUAGAGGUAAACGGGUGGAGUCGUAAAGUGGUCUGGAUAGAUUCAACCGUUCGAACGUCGACUUCGGCAGAGUGGUCCAUCGGAUGCUUCAUCGCACCGGCUCCGUCGUUGGAAACCGUCGUCGAUCGGCGCACUUCUUUCCAGACAGCGUCACGACCGAUUUCGCUGCUGGUCAAAAGCUUCGUUGGAAGGUGACUCCGACUUCGGCCGGAGAGUUACAGCCUACGACUGCGUCGUCCAGCGCGAGAUCGAGGAAUGGCCGUACCCGCCUUCAGGCACGGGUUCUCGUCUCUUCGUUUGCCGUUCGACUGGGCUGGACUGUUUACAGUGCUGUCCGACCGCGGUAGACGUUAGAGCGCGAGUGCACUCCCGAGUGGUACUCAAGGUCAGUGGCGAGUGGUCGGCAAUCCACCCGACCC